GGUAAAAUGGCUGAAUGUUUAGGCGGUGGGCCGUAGCCUCACCAACAGGGGUUUGAUUCCUCUUUUUACCA
rnacentral:tRNA from 1 species